rnacentral:sRNA from 1 species
UCAGGAACACCCCACCCAAGGCCUCUGACCCUCACUUCCUCCUCAUCUUCCCUAGACAGGCAGAGGCCAGCGUGAAAUUCAUGUGAAGCUUGGGGCAGCGUUGGUCUCAUGGAGCCCCUCUUAACUUGGUGCUGGGUGCUCCCCAAGGUCAGGGCCAUGUGCAGUGCCUCAGGUCACCAGAGACCCCUAAAGAGCCCCUGUGCUCCCCCUCCACCAAGACCUGCACCUGGGCUCUCAGACCCCACAUCCCCCGAGACCCAGCAGACCUGAGUUUCUCCUGUACCCCUCCUCCGCCCAGCUCUGAGGCCCAGAUAGAGCCGGGGUGUGCUGGCAGUGGCGGGAGACGGGAACCGGGAGUGGGGGACGGUAGGACAGUGCUGCCUGUCCACCCAGCUGAACACGGGAGAGUGCACGAAACCAACUGGCUAGAGAUUCUGUACGAUUGUCACCUGGCCCACCAGCCCAGGCAGAGUGCCAGUCUAGUUUGCGGUGGCCACUUGGCACCUCUGCAACUGCCUCUGCUGGCUUUUAGUGGGGUGCUGGGGUGUGGUGCAGUCAACUCAUAUUUAGUGUACUGAAUCAGAGUCUGAUGGCAGCACCAUCUUCCAGGAGCCUAAGCCUGGUACCCCCUGUACCAGUUGGGUGGCCCACAACUUCGGGUGUUCCGAACCAACUUCUUCAUUCAGCUGGUGCGGCCUGGUGUGGCCCAGCCUGAGGACACCGUGCAGUUCCGGAUCCCCAUGGA